rnacentral:rRNA from 1 species
ACGUAGGGGGCAAGCGUUGUUCGGAAUUAUUGGGCGUAAAGGGCAUGUAGGCGGUUAUGUAAGCCUGGUGUGAAAUCCUGCAGCUUAACUGUAGAAUUGCAUUGGGUACUGCAAGACUUGAAUCACAGAGGGGAAACUAGAAUUCCAGGUGUAGGGGUGGAAUCUGUAGAUAUCUGGAAGAAUACCGGUGGCGAAGGCGGGUUUCUAGCUGAUGAUUGACGCUGAGGUGCGAAAGUGCGGGGAGCAAACAGGAUUAGAUACCCUGGUAGUCCGCACAGUAAACGAUGUACACUAGGUGUCGGGGCAUGAGUCUCGGUGCCGAAGCUAACGUGAUAAGUGUACCGCCUGGGAAGUAUGCCCGCAAGGGUG